rnacentral:rRNA from 1 species
GAUGAACGCUGGCGGCGUGCCUAAUACAUGCCAGUCGAGCGAACGGACGAGAAGCUUGCUUUUCUGAUGUUAGCGGCGGACGGGUGAGUAACACGUGGAUAACCUACCUAUAAGACUGGGAUAACUUCGGGAAACCGGAGCUAAUACCGGAUAAUAUUUUGAACCGCAUGGUUCAAAAGUGAAAGACGGUCUUGCUGUCACUUAUAGAUGGAUCCGCGCUGCAUUAGCUAGUUGGUAAGGUAACGGCUUACCAAGGCAACGAUGCAUAGCCGACCUGAGAGGGUGAUCGGCCACACUGGAACUGAGACACGGUCCAGACUCCUACGGGAGGCAGCAGUAGGGAAUCUUCCGCAAUGGGCGAAAGCCUGACGGAGCAACGCCGCGUGAGUGAUGAAGGUCUUCGGAUCGUAAUACUCUGUUAUUAGGGAAGAACACAUGUGUAAGUAACUGUGCACAUCUUGACGGUACCUAAUCAGAAAGCCACGGCUAACUACGUG